CCAUUGUUGUGUGGGUGCCUAAGCUCUCAAAUAAAAAAAUAAAACACAAGUCCUAGAUUUUUAACUUUACUCACAAAAGUUUCUUAACGAAAAACGUUGAGCAUUUUCCGUAGAUCGUUAAUCUAUCUUUGCAUGUUGGAUCAAGAUUCGACAAGUUGUCGAGCUAUCGGGUCGGAGGACCAAGGGAAUUAACGGAGUUGUUUAAAGGAGCAUUGACGGAGUAAUACCGUAGUUAAACGGUUUCUGAUCGUUACCUGUCUUUUUGGAUGAGACUUCACUUUGUUUGCUUCUCGAAGUCCCCUUGUUUGAAUUGUGGUAUUUUGUUCAGUAGCGCUACAAUAGUAGUUAUCCGCAGUAGAUUAGUAUAGUCUCAUUGUAUUCAAAGGUUUUAAAGCGCAUUUAAAACUCUGAU